GUAAGGAAUAUUGCACAAUGGGCGAAAGCCUGAUGCAGCAACGCCGCGUGAGGGACGAAGGCCUUCGGGUUGUAAACCUCUUUUCCAGGGGACGAGACAAGGACGGUACCCUGGGAAUAAGUCUCGGCUAACUACGUGCCAGCAGCCGCGGUAACACGUAGGAGGCAAGCGUUAUCCGGAUUUACUGGGCGUAAAGCGCACGCAGGCGGCUUCGUUAGUCGGACGUGAAAGCUCCUGGCUUAACUAGGAGAGGCCGUUCGAUACUGCGAGGCUUGAGGUUGGGAGAGGGGUGUGGAAUUCCCGGUGUAGUGGUGGAAUGCGUAGAUAUCGGGAGGAACACCUGUGGCGAAGGCGACACCCUGGCCCACACCUGACGCUGAGGUGCGAAAGCGUGGGGAGCAAACAGGAUUAGAUACCCCAGUAGUCC
rnacentral:rRNA from 1 species